GGUGUGAAAGGGUGGAGAGCCUCCGGAAAGAUCAUUUCCCCUGAGGGAUUGGUCCAACCAAGGGACCUUGGUGUGGAAAGGGUGGGAGAGCCUCCUGAAAAUCAUUUCCCCUGAGGGAUUGGUCCAACCAAGGGAGCUUGGUGUUGAAAGGGUGGGAGAGCCUCCAGGAAAGAUCAUUUCCUCUGAGGGACUGGUCCAACCAAAGGACCUUGGUGUUGAAAGGAUGGGAGAGCCUGUAGGAAAGAUCAUUUCCCCUGAGGGAUUGGUCCAACCAAGGGAGCUUGGUGUUGAAAGGGUGGGAGAGCCUAUGGGAAAGAUCAUUUCCCCCGAGGGAUUGGUCCAACCAAGGGACCUUGGUGUUGAAAGGGUGGGAGAGCCUCCUGGAAAGAUCAUUUCCCCUGAGGGAUUGGUCCAACCAAGGGAGCUUGGUGUUGAAAGGGUGGGAGAGCCUCCUGGAAAGAUCAUUUCCCCUGAGGGAUUGGUCCAACCAAGGGAGCUUGGUGUUGAAAGGGUGGGAGAGCCUCCAGGAAAGAUCAUUUCCCCUGAGGGAUUGGUCCAACCAAGGGAGCUUGGUGUUGAAAGGGUGGGAGAGCCUCCUGGAAAGAUCAUUUCCCCUGAGGGAUUGGUCCAACCAAGGGAGCUUGGUGUUGAAAGGGUGGGAGAGCCUCCUGAAAAGAUCAUUUCCCCUGAGGGAUUGGUCCAACCAAGGGAGCUUGGUGUUGAAAGGGUGGGAGAGCCUCCUGGAAAGAUCAUUUCCCCUGAGGGAUUGGUCCAACCAAGGGAGCUUGGUGUUGAAAGGGUGGGAGAGCCUCCUGGAAAGAUCAUUUCCCCUGAGGGAUUGGUCCAGCCAAGGGACCUUGGUGUGGAAAGGGUGGGAGAGCCUGCAGGGACGGUCAUUUCCCCUGAGGGAUUGAUCCAGUUAAGGGGCCUUGGUGUGGAAAGGGUAAGAGAGCCUGCAGAGAAGAUCAUUUCCCCUGCGGGACUGGUCCAGCCAAAGGACCUUGAUGUUCAAAAGGUAGAUCUGAAGCCUGCCAUGAUACCGAGGAAAGAUGAUAUGAAACAGGUCGAGUUGAAAAUUGAAGGGAAAUCAUUUCGUCCCCAAAAGCCUUACCUGGAAUCUACUUCAGAACUUAGACGUAAGCAAGCUGUGAUCUCCCCCAUGCCCAGUGAUUCUCAAGAGGAGAAGUUAUUGUCUUUGGCCAAAUCCAAGUACAAGCCCAGACCUCCACCCCUCCCCACCGCCCAGAGGUUUCCACUCACGCCAAAGGAGCCAGUUGCCCCAACCCCAACCCCAACUCCAUCUGAAGGGCGUCCAGAGAGUCCCACCUGGGAAGUCAUGGGACCGGACACUGUGGCUUCCCCAAAAAAGUCAGCCCAAGAACGCUGGAGGUGGUUUCUGCGGAUUCAUCAGAGUAUCAGGGCCUUCAAGGGGGCCAUGGCCCGACGGGAUAGAAGCUUGCCUCCUACAUACAGUGAAUUCAUGCACAAGCUCCCUAGAGGAGGCUGGGACCGAUUACAGAAUGCCCUGCGGAAGCUUCGCCAAAAAGGGACAAUCACCAAAAAAACCAUGGACAGCCUUUGCUGGCUGCUGGAGCAGACAUCCCCACUGAAGCAGAUGGAGUGGGUGGAAACGGCCCAUCUGGAGACCCUUGCCUCGCAAUUGGAGUCCCUAAAGGCUCCCCAAGUAGUCUCUACGUCUGUUGCCUAUGGCAUGCCCACAGUGGAAGUAAUCCCCCCACAGACAGACUACCCUAGAGAGGAACUCCGCCCCAGAGAGAGCUUCCAGGAACUCCGCCCCAGAGGGAGCCUCCUGCUACCCGAGUUUCCUGCCCUCGCCAGGCCAUCCAUUCAGCCUGGAGCCCCCGAUCUGGUAGCCCCAGGGAAAGUCAAGGAGAUUGGGCCUGAGUUCCAGGAACUCCGCCCCAGAGAGAGCUUCCAGGAACUCCGCCCCAGAGGGAGCCUCCUGUUGCCUGAGUUUCCAGCCCUCGCCAGGCCAUCCAUUCAGCCUGGAGCCCCCGAUCUGGUAGCCCCAGAGAAAGUCAAGGAGAUUGGGCCUGAAUUCCAGGAACUCCACCCCAGAGGGAGCCUCCAGGAACUCCCCCCUAGAGGGAGCCUCCUGCUGCCCGAGUUUCCGGCCCUCGCCAGGCCAUCCAUUCAGCCUGGCGCCCCCGACCUGGUGGCCCUGGGGAAAGUCAAGGAGAUUCGGCCUGAGUUCCAGGAAUCUUUACGGAAGGACCUGGCUCGGAUUUUCCCUGAUUACUCAGCCAGUGCCCUGAAGGUCCUGAAACUCCAGCAAAAGGUGCAGUUAUGGAAGGACAAGAUAAAGGAGCUUCAGCUGUCCAGGCUGAAGGACAAGAAAUCACUAUUACCCCCUGCAGCCCUGCCAGGACCCCCAGGAGAAGCCCCGCCCACCACAGCCUGGCCUGGACUCCCAGGAGAACCCCUUCCCACCGCAGCCUGGCCUGGACUCCCAGGAGAACCCCUUCCCACCGCAGCCUGGCCUGGACUCCCAGGAGAACCCCCAUACAUAGCGGCCAGGCCUGGACUCCCAGGAGAACCCCCAUAUAUAGUGGCCAGACCUGGACUCCCAGGAGAAAUCCUUCCCACCGCAGCCUGGCCUGGACUCCCAGGAGAACCCCCAUACAUAGCGGCCAGACCUGGACUCCCAGGCGAACCCUUUCCCACCGCAGGCUGGCCUGGACUCCCAGGAGAACCCCCAUAUAUAGCGGCCAGGCCUGGACUCCCGGACGAACCCUUUCCCACCGCAGCCAGGCCUGGACUCCCAGGAGAACCCCUUCCCUCCAUAGCCAGACCUGGACUCCCAGGCGAACCCUUUCCCACCGCAGCCUGGCCUGGACUCCCAGGAGAACCCCCAUACAUAGCGGCCAGGCCUGGACUCCCAGGCGAACCCCUUCCCACCGCAGCCAGGCCUGGACUCCCAGGAGAACCCCCAUACAUAGCGGCCAGGCCUGGACUCCCAGGUGAACCCCUUCCCUCCGCAGCCAGACCUGGACCCCCAGGAACACCACUGCCCACUGCAGCAUGGCCUGGACUCCCAGGAGCACCUAUGCCAGCUGCAGCAUGGCCUGGAACCCCAGGAAGACCUCCGCCAACUGCAGCCCAUCCUGGACUCCCAGGAGCACAACUGCCCACUGCAGCCAGACCUGGCCUCCCAGGAGAACCCCAUAAAGAGCCAGACCUGGACUCCCGGCGAACCCUUCCCUCCCAAAGGGACCGGACCCCCCCAGGAACCCACCCCCACCCUGCAGCAUGGCCUGGACUCCCAGGAGAACCCCCAUACAUAGCGGCCAGGUCUGGACUCCCAGGAGAACCCUUUCCCACUGCAGCCUGGCCUGGACUCCCAGGAGCACCACCGCCCACUGCAGCCUGGCCUGGACUCCCAGGAGCACCACUGCCCACUGCAGCAUGGCCUGGACCCCCAGGAGGACCCCCAUACAUAGCAGCCAGGCCUGGACCCCCAGGAAGACCUCUAACCGGAGGCGGACCCCAGGGACCUCUAAACCA
ensembl:lncRNA